AGCAGCCGCGGUAAUUCCAGCUCCAAUAGCGUAUAUUAAAGUUGUUGCAGUUAAAAAGCUCGUAGUUGAAUUUCGGGAUCAAUACGUCGGUCGUGCUUAGGUACGUACUGGCGUAAUUGAUUUCUCCCUUCUGACGAACCAUGAUGUCAUUAACUUGGUGUCGUGGGAAAUCAGGACUGUUACUUUGAAAAAUUAGAGUGUUUAAAGCAGGCUCACGCUUGAAUACAUUAGCAUGGAAUAAUGAAAUAGGACGUUCGAUCCUAUUUUGUUGGUUUUUAGGAUCAACGUAAUGAUUAAUAGGGAUAGUUGGGGGCAUUAGUAUUCAAUUGUCAGAGGUGAAAUUCUUGGAUUUAUUGAAGACUAACUACUGCGAAAGCAUUUGCCAAGGAUGUUUUCAUUAAUCAAGUAACGAAAGUUAGGGGAUCGAAGACGAUCAGAUACCGUCGUAGU
rnacentral:rRNA from 1 species